AUUGAACGCUGGCGGCAGGCCUAACACAUGCAAGUCGAACGGUAACAGGAAGACGCUUGCUUCUUUGCUGACGAGUGGCGGACGGGUGAGUAAUGUCUGGGAAACUUCCUGAUGGAGGGGGAUAACUACUGGAAACGGUAGCUAAUACCGCAUAAUGUCGCAAGACCAAAGAGGGGGACCUUCGGGCCUCUUGCCAUCGGAUGUGCCCAGAUGGGAUUAGCUAGUAGGUGGGGUAACGGCUCACCUAGGCGACGAUCCCUAGCUGGUCUGAGAGGAUGACCAGCCACACUGGAACUGAGACACGGUCCAGACUCCUACGGGAGGCAGCAGUGGGGAAUAUUGCACAAUGGGCGCAAGCCUGAUGCAGCUAUGCCGCGUGUAUGAAGAAGGCCUUCGGGUUGUAAAGUACUUUCAGCGGGGAGGAAGGGAGUAAAGUUAAUACCUUUGCUCAUUGACGUUACCCGCAGAAGAAGCACCGGCUAACUCCGUG
rnacentral:rRNA from 1 species